UACAGAGGGUGCAAGCGUUAAUCGGAAUUACUGGGCGUAAAGCGUGCGUAGGCGGUUACAUAAGUCGGGUGUGAAAGCCCCGGGCUCAACCUGGGAAUUGCAUUCGAGACUGCGUAGCUAGGGUGCGGAAGAGGGAAGCGGAAUUUCCGGUGUAGCGGUGAAAUGCGUAGAUAUCGGAAGGAACACCCGUGGCGAAGGCGGUUCUCUGGGACGGUACUGACGCUGAGACGCGAAAGCGUGGGGAGCGAACAGG
rnacentral:rRNA from 1 species